rnacentral:misc_RNA from 1 species
AUAUCUGGUGAUAACAAGAAAUGCGGCACAGAAUUCAGAAUUGCAAGCUAAGAGUUAUAGCCAUCUAAACCACACUUCAUUGGCAUGUAGUUAUGAAAUUUUUGGAUUGGUUUACACAAUUGUUUUUCACUACAAACAGGUCAUUGAAAACCAACUGCAUUACUUACUCAAAUGUAAAUGAAUUAAUGGGACAUGAAUUACAAAGCGUAUAAGUAUCAACCCACACAAGAGAAGAAUGAGAGAAUCGCAGAUCAUUUACUCACACAUAAGGAUAGCAGGAAUUGACUUAUAAUCAUUGCAUGUUACAAGAUUCCAAAGCAUUACACAGCUAUCAAAAUUUUAAUUAGAGAACUAAUCAGAAAUUAAAUAAAAAAAAUGAAAAAAAGUAUGAGCUUAAGUUUAA